rnacentral:lncRNA from 1 species
UAAUGACCUAGCCUCAUCAAUAAUCUUGUGAUGGCUUUUCCACACUAUAUAUGACAUGUGGCUGUGAACUUCCUGCAAUAAUCUUUUUAUAUUUUUAAAUCCCAGACUGAAAAAUACCUGGCUCCAAAGCAUCAUUUCUUCUUCAUAAGCAUGCACCAGCUGCUGAAUGAGCUUCCUGUGAUGCUCCCCUCAUCUUAGCCCUGGGGACUGGUAGGAAGAGACAUGUAAAAUGCCAUGGAAGGAGACCUCUGCCCUCUGUUUCUAUCCAUUAUACUUUGCCAAGAUAGAGCCUAAAGGGACUGGAGCCACUCGCCUGAGCUGGAGGGAUGCUACCCUGCUGGAUAAGGAGAUCUCUUUGCACUCAACCACUUUUAAGAGAUCUUAAAAAGCCUUAUAUCUGUUUCCAUCAUAGGACUAUUUGUCCAAGAAAUAAAAAUAGUCCAUAAACACAGAGAUCAUAAAUCUUCUCCAUCACUAAUUACUUUAAAAAUGAAAAGACUGCUAUUCAGCCUCCCUCGUUUCAUCUGGUAGCUGCUGCAGCAGUGACUGAUUUGGCUAAUAGAUGCUGUAGCCUGUUUUCUGCUACUGCCUAUUACAGCGUCAUGGAGAGAGAGAAUAUAAACAUCAGGCAUGUGUCGAGUAAUUUUUCUCACAAAAGAACGUAUUAAUAUGAAGCAAUGAGAAGCUCUGGGACUUCCUAACCUGGAUGUGGCAUACCUUUCCCUUAGUUGAUGUUGUUUUACCAUUGUGGAGAAAUGCCCUCUGGGAGCAGCCGCUAUGUGACUGCUAACGCUUGGCAGCCAUUCCUCUAUGUGAGCAAUGGGGAAUCUCCAUCACUGUGCAGCCAUCUGAACCUCAUUUCUGUGAGAUCCCAGAGGUCUCUGCAAGGUGAACAUUUCCAGUUUGCAGUGCCCUCUGUUAAAUGCUGAUUACAACAUGGAAACCCAAAGCUGGUGACAGUAGAUGACCAAGAAGUCCACCCUACAUUGCUGUGGUAUGUAUGCCUGGGCAUGAGGGAAAAUCCUUUGGAGGAGGUAGAAGGUUGCGUUUCUCAUGGAGGAGUACCUAUGAAAUAGAGAUGUGGCUAAAGCUGUGAUUUAUGCCACAUUGCCACACAUAAUAGUACCAAACCAGGUAC